UGGGGAAUAUUGGACAAUGGGCGCAAGCCUGAUCCAGCCAUGCCGCGUGAGUGAUGAAGGCCCUAGGGUUGUAAAGCUCUUUCACCGGUGAAGAUAAUGACGGUAACCGGAGAAGAAGCCCCGGCUAACUUCGUGCCAGCAGCCGCGGUAAUACGAAGGGGGCUAGCGUUGUUCGGAUUUACUGGGCGUAAAGCGCACGUAGGCGGACUUUUAAGUCAGGGGUGAAAUCCCGGGGCUCAACCCCGGAACUGCCUUUGAUACUGGAAGUCUUGAGUAUGGUAGAGGUGAGUGGAAUUCCGAGUGUAGAGGUGAAAUUCGUAGAUAUUCGGAGGAACACCAGUGGCGAAGGCGGCUCACUGGACCAUUACUGACGCUGAGGUGCGAAAGCGUGGGGAGCAAACAGGUUAGAUACCCUGGUAGUCCACGCCGUAAACGAUGAAUGUUAGCCGUUGGGGGAGUUUACUCUUCGGUGGCGCAGCUAACGCAUUAAACAUUCCGCCUGGGGAGUACGGUCGCAAGA
rnacentral:rRNA from 1 species